rnacentral:rRNA from 1 species
UGCCAGCAGCCGCGGUAAUACAUAGGGGUCAAGCGUUGUCCGGAUUUAUUGGGCGUAAAGCGCGCGUAGGCGGAUUGGAAAGUUGGGGGUGAAAUCCCGAGGCUCAACCUCGGAACUGCCUCCAAAACUCCCAGUCUAGAGUUCGAGAGAGGUGAGUGGAAUUCCAAGUGUAGAGGUGAAAUUCGUAGAUAUUUGGAGGAACACCAGUGGCGAAGGCGGCUCACUGGCUCGAUACUGACGCUGAGGUGCGAAAGUGUGGGGAGCAAACAGGAUUAGAUA